UUAAGAGAUCCUUGGUCCAAACUCUUUUUAAGUACGGCAGGGAUUCAAAGAAGUCGAGGUGAUCUACUCAAGAUUAUCCUGCAUUGCUACAUCUAUGAAGGAAGCUGAAAAGGGGAAGGAUUUUUUUUUUUUUUUUUCCUUUCUAGCCCUGUCGCUGAUACUCAGUACACUUGUCUACCUCUUCCACCAAUAUGAAAGCUCUGCAAAAGUAGGGAGGACAUCUUUUUCUGGUACUCCAUUGUAUGCUCAGCACCAAGGCAGUGGUGCGAAGUAGAGGACCAACAGGACCAGGUAUGCACAUAUGGAUACAGGGCCCAGUGCAAAGUGAAAAAGCGGGCCCCCUUGUUCAAAAUUAUUAAGCAUUUCAGGUUGGUGACAAAAAAGCAUUAAACCAAUCGUUGUUCAGUCUCUCAGUUAUGUCCUACUCUUUGUGACCUCAUGGACUGCAGCACACUGGGCUUCCCUGUCUGUCACUGUCUCUCGGAGUUAACUUUCUAAGCACAGGACUUUGUGCCAGUACAUAGGCUGAAUUAAAGUUAAGAUGUAAAGGAUAUAGGAAUUAGCCCUAACAAAGAGAGAACACUUGAGGGCAGAAGAUAAGAUUCAUGCAAAAGUCAUUAAAAAAAAAAAUGUGGUAGAGAGUAGAAAUUUGAGAAGCUGAUCGUUUUUAGUCAGGGUGAGGAUAAAUCAAGCAGAUAAGAGUAGAGGGAGAAGCAAGAUCCAAAUUAGCAUCUAGGUU